rnacentral:lncRNA from 1 species
UUCCGAAAACACCCUCAAUCAUUUUAAUCAGACUUUCUCCUUCGAAGCACGUAUCUCUCUCCAUUUUAGGUUUUGCUUUUUCUCUGAAGCUCUCUCUCCUUAUCCAUUUUAGGUUUUCGUGUUCUUUUGCAGCUGUUCUCGGUGUGUCCAUUUUUCUAAGGCGUUGAAUUGGUGAGCAAUAUGUGUGGACGUUGAUGGAUUUCGUUGGGUUAGUAUCGUGAGUUCUACAUUUCGCUUGGGUGUAACUCACAAAGUCCCUCUUCCUCACACAAGCACUUGGAUGAAAUACCCUAACAAACCCCUAAGCAGUUGUUGGUCCUCAAAAACAACCAUUAAUCUCAAAUUCAUAACUUAAAUUCUAACCAAGUCAGUACUCACCACACACUGGGGAGCCCCCUCUACCAGAGCCAGGGAGCAACGUUGGACUUUUGGUACAGAGGCACUGGUACAACCUGUCUGUAAUCGAUUACACAAGCACAUAAAUCACAAAGUCUCUCUUCCUCACACAAGCACUUGGAUGAAAUACCCUAACAAACCCCUAAGCAGUUGUUGGUCUUCCAAAACAACCAUUAAUCUCAAAAUCAUAACUUAAAUUCUAACCAAGUCAGUACCCACC